AACGAACGCUGGCGGCAUGCCUAACACAUGCAAGUCGAACGAGAUCUUCGGGUCUAGUGGCGCACGGGUGCGUAACGCGUGGGAAUCUGCUCUUUGGUUCGGAAUAACAGUUGGAAACGACUGCUAAUACCGGAUGAUGACGAAAGUCCAAAGAUUUAUCGCCAGAGGAUGAGCCCGCGUAGGAUUAGCUAGUUGGGGUGGUAAAGGCGCACGAGGGCGACGAUGGUUAGCUGGUCUGAGAGGAUGAUCAGCCACACUGGGGCGGGGACACGGCCCAGACUCCUACGGGAGGCAGCAGUGGGGAAUAUUGGACAAUGGGCGAAAGCCUGAUCCAGCAAUGCCGCGUGAGUGAUGAAGGCCUUAGGGUUGUAAAGCUCUUUUACCCGGGAUGAUAAUGACAGUACCGGGAGAAUAAGCUCCGGCUAACUCCGUGCCAGCAGCCGCGGUAA
rnacentral:rRNA from 1 species